rnacentral:rRNA from 1 species
GACGAACGCUGGCGGCGUGCCUAAUACAUGCAAGUAGAACGCACAGUUUAUACCGUAGCUUGCUACACCAUAAACUGUGAGUUGCGAACGGGUGAGUAACGCGUAGGUAACCUGCCUGGUAGCGGGGGAUAACUAUUGGAAACGAUAGCUAAUACCGCAUAAUAUUGAUUAUUGCAUGAUAAUUGAUUGAAAGAUGCUAUUGCAUCGCUACCAGAUGGACCUGCGUUGUAUUAGCUAGUAGGUGAGGUAACGGCUCACCUAGGCGACGAUACAUAGCCGACCUGAGAGGGUGCUCGGCCACACUGGGACUGAGACACGGCCCAGACUCCUACGGGAGGCAGCAGUAGGGAAUCUUCGGCAAUGGACGAAAGUCUGACCGAGCAACGCCGCGUGAGUGAAGAAGGUUUUCGGAUCGUAAAGCUCUGUUGUAAGAGAAGAACGGGUGUGAGAGUGGAAAGUUCACACUGUGACGGUAUCUUACCAGAAAGGGACGGCUAACUACGUG